ACGAUAUGUCAUAUCGACGAUCAAAUUUUAUGGAGACGGACGAUAUGUUCCUCCAGUUUGAGGAGGAUUUAGAUAACAUUGCGGGAGGGUCGUCAUCUGUGGGCGACAAUACGGGGUCUUCUUCUCAACAAACGACUCCGACUCCUAGGAGACGUGCGCAGUCUUGACUCUUGGA